rnacentral:rRNA from 1 species
CUUGACAUGUACGGAACCCUCGAGAGAUUGAGGGGUGCUCGAAAGAGAGCCGUAACACAGGUGCUGCAUGGCUGUCGUCAGCUCGUGUCGUGAGAUGUUGGGUUAAGUCCCGCAACGAGCGCAACCCUUGUCAUUAGUUGCUACGCAAGAGCACUCUAAUGAGACUGCCGGUGACAAACCGGAGGAAGGUGGGGAUGACGUCAAGUCCUCAUGGCCCUUAUGGGUAG